UACCAGCUCUCCGAGUGGUAGGGAUGAUUAUUGGGCUUAAAGCGUCCGUAGCCGGCUUAGCAAGUUUCCUGUUAAAUUCAGCGACCUAAUCGUUGAGCCGCGGGAAAUACUACUAGGCUAGGAGGCGGGAGAGGUCGACGGUACUUCUGGGGUAGGGGUGAAAUCCUAUAAUCCCGGGAGGACCACCAGUGGCGAAGGCUGUCGACUAGAACGCGCUCGACGGUGAGGGACGAAAGCUGGGGGAGCGAACCGGAUUAGAUACCCGGGUAGUCCCAGCUGUAAACGAUGCGGGCUAGGUGUUGGGGUGGCUACGUGCCACUUCAGUGCCGCAGGGAAGCCAUUAAGCCCGCCGCCUGGGGAGUACGGCCGCAAGGCUGAAACUUAAAGGAAUUGGCGGGGAGCACCACAAGGCGUGAAGCUUGCGGUUC
rnacentral:rRNA from 1 species